GAUGAAGAACGCAGCGAAAUGCGGUAAGUAAUGUGAAUUGCAGAAUUCAGUGAAUCAUCGAAUCUUUGAACGCACAUUGCGCCCGCCAGUAUUCUGGCGGGCAUGCCUGUUCGAGCGUCAUUUCAACCAUCAAGCCCCCGGCUUGUGUUGGGGACCUGCGGCUGCCGCAGGCCCUGAAAACCAGUGGCGGGCUCGCUAGUCACUCCGAGCGUAGUAAUACAUCUCGCUCAGGGCGUGCUGCGGGUUCCGGCCGUUAAAAGCCUUAUUUACCCAAGGUUGACCUCGGAUCAGGUAGGAAGACCCGCUGAACUUAAGCAUAUCAAUAAGCGGAGGA
rnacentral:misc_RNA from 1 species